rnacentral:rRNA from 1 species
GAUGAACGCUGGCGGCGUGCCUAAUACAUGCAAGUCGAGCGGACAGACGAGGAGCUUGCUCCUCUGACGUUAGCGGCGGACGGGUGAGUAACACGUGGAUAACCUACCUAUCAGACUGGGAUCACUUCGGGAAACCGGAGCUAAUACCGUAUAAUAUAUUGAACCGCAUGGUUCAAUAGUGAAAGACGGUUUUGCUGUCACUUAUCGAUGGAUCCGCGCCGCAUUAGCUGGUUGGUAAGGUAACGGCUUACCAAGGCAACGAGGCGUAUCCGGCCUGAGUGGGUGGUAGGCCACCCGGGAGCUGAGACGCGGUCCAGACGCCUAAGGGAGGCAGCAGUAGGGAAUCGUCCGCAAUGGGCGAAAGCCUGACGGAGCAACGGCGCGUGAGUGAUGAAGGUCUUCGGAUCGUAAAACUCUGUUAUUAGGGAAGAACAAAUGUGUAAGGAAAUAUGCACGGCUUGACGGUACCUAGUCAGAAAGCCACGGCUAACUACGUG